AGGUCUCUGGGCUACCCAGCCUCUGGGUCCUGCUCUUCCAGACUCAGUAGAAGAGGUGCCAAGUCUUAACUGCAGCUUGAUGUGCCAUGGCUGGCUGACACACAUAGGAGCCCUUUUCUGAAGAGAAAGGAGGAGGAGUAUAUGGCGAUUUGGGUACAUUCUCCCUCUAGAAUGAAAUUAUUGUCCUUCAUUUGGAAAAAAGAAAAUGAAAUUUGCUGGGACACUGAAAUACACAGACUAUUAUAAUACCCUCAAGGGAAGAAAGUUAAAUGGCAAUUACACUGGGGAUCUACAGUGAAGACUCUCCCUGCAUCCUGGAUCUGCCUCCUCCACUGCGGCCCUCUUGAGAACAGAGAGAAUCCUAUAUAUGCAGGGCCACAGAUUGACCUGCCAGUCAAGGUGUGUUUCCGACUCUCCCCUUCAUCCACCGAAAAAGGUAAGUGUGUCCUUCGAAAGAUAUGUUUCAAAAGAUUCCUUGUUUCCCACUCCAUGUCUAGCACA